rnacentral:rRNA from 1 species
ACGAUUUGCCAGUCGCAUUCCCCCAAUUUGGUUUUACUAUGUGAAACUAGGCAAAAGGCGGAAAAGAUGAGGAGGAUUCGCGGUCGUCUCGGCCUUAAGGGGUUUUGUGGUGUGGAUAGUGCAGGCAUGAGUGGUGGGCUGGCUCUGUACUGGCAUGAGUAG